CAGUCGCCACGGGAACACGAAGGGUGCAAGCGUUAAUCGGAAUUACUGGGCGUAAAGCGUGCGUAGGCGGUGAGUUAAGUCUGCUGUGAAAUCCCCGGGCUCAACCUGGGAAUGGCAGUGGAUACUGGCUCGCUAGAGUGUGUCAGAGGAUGGUGGAAUUCCCGGUGUAGCGGUGAAAUGCGUAGAGAUCGGGAGGAACAUCAGUGGCGAAGGCGGCCAUCUGGGACAACACUGACGCUGAGGCACGAAAGCGUGGGGAGCGAACAGGAUUAGAUACCCGUGUAGUCCCUGUCUCUUAUAC
rnacentral:rRNA from 1 species